rnacentral:rRNA from 1 species
GUCUAUGACCAUGCCACUCUGAAUAAACCUGAUGUCUGAUCUUGGAAGCUAAGCAGGGUCAGACCUGGUUAGUACUUGGAUGGGAGGCCACAUAGGAAGACCAGGUGCUGUAGGCA